rnacentral:lncRNA from 1 species
CGUCUUGCCCGACAGGCCGCGCCGAGGUCAAAUCGCCCCAGUCUGUUCAGCCUGUACCCUCCCCCAGACGACCAAGGCGAACUGAACAGCGCCUUCAGAAGUGCGCUUCGAGUCAUCGUCGUCAGACACCCCUUCGGCAGCCUGGCCGCCUUCUACCGCGAGAAGAUAGCCAAGACGAACCUGAAGCCGAACAGCAGCCGCUUCAGGGAACUUCAGACGAGGAUCGUGUCCGCCUACCGCCCCACCAACAGCACCGAGUCCUCGCCAUUCCCGACCUUUCAGGAGCCUCGCGCAGUACGUCAUCGACCUGACGAAGGGCCUGGAGACGGCGGAGGACUGGGGGAAUACCGACCAGUCCCUGACUCCGACCUGGGCGCAGUGCAACGUGUGCGGCAGCGACUACACCCUUGUCCUCAAGAGCGAGACCCAGGUCGAGGACGAGCGCUUCCUCGCCCUCCUGGCCGACUACAAAGAGCCCAAGAAGCCUCGCGAGGAAAAGUCCCCCGUGCUUGUCCCACACGAGUUCUCGCAGCUGAACUACCAGCAGCUUCAGCAGCUCCGCCAGCGGUACCUCCUGGACUUCCAGCUCUUCGGAUACAAGUUGGACCAAGAAUAUUUUGAUAAGGCGAAGGACGUCUAGUUGUUUGUGGGAUUGGGGAAUGUUAGAGCUGUCACUUCAUUUCCGAAGAGAGUGUCAAGAAGUCAUUUGUUCUUGUGAAUGCAUU